rnacentral:misc_RNA from 1 species
AAGUCGUAACAAGGUUUCCGUAGGUGAACCUGCGGAAGGAUCAUUAACGAAUUAUUGGGUGAUUGAUGCUGGUCGCAAGACAUGUGCUCGUCCUCAUAAAUCCAUAUACACCUGUGCACCCGAUUCUUUUCCAAGUGCGAACGUUAGAGUAGCGCUUGGAGGGGAAUUACACACAAACUCUUACUAUUAUUUUGAAUGUUUAUCGCCGCAAGGCAAAAUUAAAUACAA